UUUUUUUUUCCUUUUUUCUUGUUCCUUUUUCAGUUUUACAAUAGAUGGAAUUCCGAU
rnacentral:sRNA from 1 species